CAUAAAGCAAUUUUUACACACAAAUGAUUUACAUAGGAUCGGACCUGAGGCGAGGCAAGUGUGGCCCUCACCCCAUGCCCAACAUCAAAGGGGACCGAUAAAUCUUCGAGAUUUUUCGAGACCCAAGACCAAAGGAUUAAACUAUUAAUCCCACUAACAAGCAAACAAGUUCAGGAACAAGACUCAACCAUGGAAUCAGAGUGAAGGACAAUCAUAAGGAAGAAAACAGAGGAAUUUCCGAGGAUUUGGUGGAAGAUUCAACAACAUGUACAUGCAAAGAUGUCGAAGCGUGUAGCAAUUUUGGACAUUCUGCACCGGGAAAUGGAGGAAAUCCAGCUGCCUUUAUUGUAUUUGUAUCACCACAGACAAUUGGACGUGAAACUUUGUAUUUCGAUAGAUCGUGCCACUCCGAAUGUCAACAAAUGAUCACUUGAACUUCGGUAAUGAUUCUAGGCAUAUUGGGAUAAAAGAGAAGUCCUAGUCAUAAUUUAUGUUGAUCUAGAUCUGCAGAACUCGCCAUUGCCAUCGAUGAAAACUCCAUCUUCCAGCUCAGUUGGUACAAGUCAAAGCAAGGACACCCAUCACUUUCUGUCUAUGGAAACACUUCCAAUAAUACUGAAAUCCAUCCUGAACCAAUACCCCUUGACCAAGAGCAACACGAAACAAAUGAUAUAGAAACACUUGAAGGACUGGAAACCAACCUACCCACCGAAACUCUAGAGCAAAAACAAAAAUCAAUCCAAGUCUCUUGCCAUCACAUGGAUACGAGAUAAAAAAAUGGGAUCUUCAUACCAAAACCUACUCUUUGAAGCCAAAAAAUAUCUGCGUUCACCAAAAAUGAACAUUUAGAACCAACAACAGUUAGUGAAGCCUUGAAAUCGGCUGAAUGGAUGAAAGAUAUACAUAAUGAAUACCAAGCCUUCAUGAAAAACAAGAAAUGGAGUUUAGUUCCAUGCUCAUCCGGUCUAAACAUUUUUGGCAACAAAUGAAUUUUCGAAACCAAGUUUAAU
rnacentral:lncRNA from 1 species